rnacentral:rRNA from 1 species
UACGAAGGGGGCUAGCGUUGUUCGGAAUCACUGGGCGUAAAGCGCACGUAGGCGGAUCUUUAAGUCAGGGGUGAAAUCCCGAGGCUCAACCUCGGAACUGCCUUUGAUACUGGGGAUCUCGAGUCCGGGAGAGGUGAGUGGAACUGCGAGUGUAGAGGUGAAAUUCGUAGAUAUUCGCAAAGAACACCAGUGGCGAAGGCGGCUCACUGGCCCGGAACUGACGCUGAGGUGCGAAAGCGUGGGGAGCAAACAGGG